GACGAACGCUGGCGGCGUGCUUAACACAUGCAAGUCGAGCGGUAAGGCCCUUUCGGGGGUACACGAGCGGCGAACGGGUGAGUAACACGUGGGUGACCUGCCCUCAGCUCUGGGAGUAAGCCCGGGAAACUGGGUCUAAUACUGGAUAUGACUCCAUGACGCAUGUUGUGGGGUGGAAAGCCUUGUGCGGCUGAAGAUGGGCCCGCGGCCUAUCAGCUUGUUGGUGGGGGG
rnacentral:rRNA from 1 species